GAUGAAGAGCUCAGCGAAAUGCGAAAAGUAAUGUGAAUUGCAGAAUUCAGUGAAUCAUCGAAUCUUUGAACGCACAUUGCGCCCGCCAGUAUUCUGGCGGGCAUGCCUGUCUGAGCGUCAUUUCAACCCUCACGCCCCUAGGGCGUGGUGUUGGGGAUCGGCCAAGGCCCGCAAGGGACGGCCGGCCCCUAAAUCUAGUGGCGGACCCAUCGUGGCCUCCCCUGCGAAGUAGUAAUAUAUUCCGCAUCGGAUAGCGAUGAGCCCCUGCCGUUAAACCCCCAACUCUUUCAAGGUUGACCUCAGAUCAGGUAGGAAUACCCGCUGAACUUAAGCAUAUCAAUAAGCGGAGGA
rnacentral:misc_RNA from 1 species